UGGGGAAUAUUGCACAAUGGGCACAAGCCUGAUGCAGCCAUGCCGCGUGUGUGAAGAAGGCCUUCGGGUUGUAAAGCACUUUCAGCGAGGAGGAAGGUGGUGAGCUUAAUACGCUCAUCAAUUGACGUUACUCGCAGAAGAAGCACCGGCUAACUCCGUGCCAGCAGCCGCGGUAAUACGGAGGGUGCAAGCGUUAAUCGGAAUUACUGGGCGUAAAGCGCACGCAGGCGGUUUGUUAAGUCAGGUGUGAAAUCCCCGGGCUCAACCUGGGAACUGCAUUUGAAACUGGCAAGCUAGAGUCUCGUAGAGGGGGGUAGAAUUCCAGGUGUAGCGGUGAAAUGCGUAGAGAUCUGGAGGAAUACCGGUGGCGAAGGCGGCCCCCUGGACGAAGACUGACGCUCAGGUGCGAAAGCGUGGGGCAGCAAACAGGAUUAGAUACCCUGGUAGUCCAGCGCUGUAAACGAUGUCGAUUUUGGAGGUUGUGCCCCUUGAGGCGUGGCUUCCGGAGCUAACGCGUUAAAUCGACCGCCUGGGGAGUACGGCCGCAAGGUUAAAACUUAAAUGAAUUGAC
rnacentral:rRNA from 1 species